rnacentral:rRNA from 1 species
ACUCCUACGGGAGGCAGCAGUGGGGAAUUUUGCGCAAUGGGGGAAACCCUGACGCAGCAACGCCGCGUGAGUGAUGAAGGCCCUUGGGUCGUAAAGCUCUGACAGAGGGAAAGAAAUGUGGGUGGCUAAUAUCCAUUCCACUUGACGGUACCCUCAAAGGAAGCACCGGCUAACUCCGUGCCAGCAGCCGCGGUAAUACGGAGGGUGCGAGCGUUGUUCGGAUUUAUUGGGCGUAAAGCGCGUGUAGGCGGUCUUUUAAGUCUGAUGUGAAAGCCCUGGGCUCAGCCCGGGAAGUGCAUUGGAAACUGGGAGACUUGAAUACGGGAGAGGGUAGUGGAAUUCCUGGUGUAGGAGUGAAAUCCGUAGAUAUCAGGAGGAACACCGGUGGCGAAGGCGGCUGCCUGGACCGAUAUUGACGCUGAGACGCGAAAGCGUGGGGAGCAAACAGGAUUAGAUACCCUGGUAGUCCACGCCGUAAACGAUGAGAACUAGGUGUCGCGGGUA